CUGGAGCUCACAGGAGCAGAAACAUUUUAUUUCUGGAUUUAAAGAUGGACCACACAUUGCUCUGUGUGCUGUGCGUACUGUUUCUCAGUUUUUUCCUCUGCUGUGGAAACCCUCCAGUUCAUAGGAGAUCUGGAGGUGAGAAUCUGCUGUCAGCAGCACCAAAGUCAGUCCUCACUGUGUCUCCAUCAUGGCUGAAUCCUGGAGCCUCAGUAAAUCUGAGCUGUGAGG